GUAAGGAAUAUUGGACAAUGGGGGAAACCCUGAUCCAGCCAUGCCGCGUGAGUGAAGAAGGCCUUCGGGUUGUAAAACUCUUUCAGAUGUGAAGAUGAUGACGGUAACAUCAGAAGAAGCUCCGGCUAACUUCGUGCCAGCAGCCGCGGUAAUACGAAGGGAGCGAGCGUUGUUCGGAAUCACUGGGCGUAAAGAGUGCGUAGGCGGUUAUACAAGUCAGGAGUGAAAUCCCAGAGCUUAACUUUGGAAUUGCUUUUGAAACUGUAUAGCUAGAGUCCCGGAGAGGUUAAUGGAAUUCCGAGUGUAGAGGUGAAAUUCGCAGAUAUUCGGAGGAACACCAGUGGCGAAGGCGAUUAACUGGACGGGCACUGACGCUGAGGCACGAAAGCGUGGGGAGCAAACAGGAUUAGAUACCCGUGUAGUCC
rnacentral:rRNA from 1 species